rnacentral:rRNA from 1 species
GAUGAACGCUGGCGGCGUGCCUAAUACAUGCCAGUCGAGCGAACGGAAAAAAACAUUGCUUCUAUGAUAUUAACGAAGGAAGAGUGAGUAACACGUGGAACACCUAACUAUAAGACUGGGAUAACUUCGGGAAACCGGAGCUAAUACCGGAUGAUAUUUUGAACCGCAUGGUUCAAAAGUGAAAGACGGUCUUGCUGUCACUUAUAGAUGGAUCCGCGCUGCAUUAGCUAGUUGGUAAGGUAACGGCUUACCAAGGCAACGAUGCAUAGCCGACCUGAGAGGGUGAUCGGCCACACUGGAACUGAGGCACGGUCCAGACUCCUACGGGAGGCAGCAGUAGGGAAUCUUCCGCAAUGGGCGAAAGCCUGACGGAGCAACGCCGCGUGAGUGAUGAAGGUCUUCGGAUCGUAAAACUCUGUUAUUAGGGAAGAACAUAUGUGUAAGUAACUGUGCACAUCUUGACGGUACCUAAUCAGAAAGCCACGGCUAACUACGUG